GAUUCGGUAGUUAAGUGGUAGAGCAGUUACAUAGUUUUCAGAAUGGUCGCAGGUUCGAAUCCUGCCGGAGGCU